UUAUGUUUAGGAAUUCUUUAUUUUAUUUUAUUUAUUUUUAAUCUAGAUAUGUUAGUAAAGUAUGGGUGGACAACGUACAAUUCUGUACUAAAAGUUAAUAAAGGGUGUAUCUAUUUCUCUAUGAGCCCAACAUACCAAAAUGACAUUGAGAUAUCAAGAAAUCACAAUCCCCCUUCCCUUUCUUUUUGGUUCUUCGUUCAAAUAGGAGUUGUACCCGUCCGGAAUUCUUUUGUAUCUCAGUAUGAUCUCUAUCAUCAUCGAGAGACCCGAAAAGGAGAAGGGCUGGUGGUGGGCAUUUAGGAAUGUGUUUCUCAAUAUGAUGUCUAUCAUCAUUGGAAUACCUAGAAAGGAGAAGGGUGGUGGUGGGCAUUUGGGAAGUCAAUCUUUUUUUUUUUUUUAAUGUUCGAAAAUGACGUUGAGACCGCCACAUCUUUCUCUUUGAAUGAUGGUGUCUUGACUCUACAAAUGCAUUCUCCCAUUCUUCCGUUCUCCUUUUUAAACCCGUAUUUUAGUAUUUUCUCUUCGGCUUUGUUUGGUUUCCAAGAAAGUGGGGUAGGUCUAAUAUGGAUUGUGUUUUCUUUUUAUGUUUGGAUUGCUAAGAAAACGAAGGAAAAUGAAGUAAAGUUCUUGAUUUAUGUUUGGUUUUUCUUUUGAAACCAUGUUUUAAUUUUUUUUUUCUUGGACUUUGUUUAGUUUCCGAGAAAGUGGUCUAGGUUUGAUAUGGAUUGUCUUUCUUUCUUCUUCUUGGUUUAUGUUUGGUUUGCCAAGAACGUGAAUUCUCUUUUUCAAACUAUGUUUUGAUUUUUUUCUCUUCGGCUCUAACUGGUUUUCAAGAAAGUGGCCUAGGUGUAAUUUGGAUUGUGAUUUCUUUCUUUUUCUUGGUUUCUAUUCAAUUGGCCAAGAAAUUGAAAGAAAAUGAACUCUUUGUUCUUUCUUUUUCUUCAUUUAUCUUUGGUUUACAAGAAAUGGGAGUGAAGUAAAGCGUUUUCUUGAUUUCUCUUUGUCGAUUGCGUUCAUGUCGUCUAGCUUUGCUACCGAGGCUUCUCAAGAUAGUACAACUUCUAAAGCUCACAGGGCAUGCAACCUAAGUCUCGUGAUGAUAAAGAGGUUCUAACCACCUAGGUUGCCGACAACGUCUUGAACUUGGUGUAGGAGUUGCUCGACCUCGGCAUCCCUUCCGGAGAUGUUGUCGCCAUUUCUGCUCUCAACAGUUACGUCGUGCUAACCUGCACCUUGGGUGGUGGUGAUUGUCUAUGGUGGGGGCUCCUUUUAGAGCACAAGUUAGCAGGAUCACUAUAAGAAUAAUUGGAAAAUGGGGAUUCAGCACCAAGCCUAAGGCAAAUGGGGAUUCAGAACCAACCGAAGGUUACCGGUUAUCUCUCGUCUCACGCUCUUCAUUCAUAUUCUGCAUUUAUUUUGAAUUCUUAAAUUUUCUUUUCAAGAGAUAAUCAUUGGAGAGGAGAGAAUUUUCUAGCUCUGUUUUCCUGCUGAGGUCAUAACUACUUAGAGAAAAUUCAUUGUAUAAUGAUUAUAAAAAAUUGGGCCAAAUUGUAUAUUUUUAAUUUUAUACA